UACAUUUCAAGUGAAACAAUAGAGGGGGAAAAGUAGAAAGUGUUCCCAACAAACAUGCCCUAGGUCACUCUCCUCUUUCUUCACUCGGCUGAAGAAAGGCUGCCUCUACUUAUCUUCAACCUCAAGCUCAACGUAAGCUUACUUCAAACCCUAGCUCUACAAAGUAGAGGAAGAGAAACAAGAAGCUGAACCUUGCCAAGAAUUGUUAAAUACAGCCGCACCUGAAUCCUUGAUGUAAAUCGCUAAAGACAGCCAAAGCUGAACCUCGCCUUCAGAUCGUUGAAGACGAUCUCUUAAAUGGUUAUAGUUGCCUUACAAGUUGAAAACAAAGGUUGUGGAAUAUUCGAAUGGAUACCAAAUUCAAGUCUAAGUUGUAAUAGUUAUCAGACUCCACCUCGGUCCCAUUGUUCGGAAACACCAACUUCAUCAUCUCCUUCCCCUUCAUCAAACUAUAUCAAAGGAUAUUUGAAUGGUGCAAUUAAAGAAUCGGAAGACCAUACGAGGAUAUUGAGAGACGUUCUUGACACAGAAACUUGACUUAAACAAAAGUGUAGAGUGAACUUUGUUAGGAGAGUUGGAAUUUUUGGAAAAGAAAGACUGAUGUCAUUGUGAUGAUAUUGUAUUCAUUAUCAUUUGGUAGUGCCUGGAUUGUAAUAAUUAAUUUAGAUAAGAUAUGUUUUCUGGAUUGUUACAUGUUAA